rnacentral:lncRNA from 1 species
CAAAUUAUGCCCACCAUUUUCUUCCACAUGUUAGAUUGCGUAUUAACAACCGCCACGACUCCUUAUUUAAUCGAUGGAUACGAUCUUAUCAUCUUUGAGAAAAGUCUAAAAGAAAAAAACACGAUACAUUCAACAAUAAUUCAACUAUAAACACAAGACAUAUGUAAAUCAAGAGAUUUCAACAUAAAUUUGAAGUCAAAUUGAGAAAACGGUGUUGAUUUUUUCUUCUUACUUUUCGAGUAUAAAAUCAAAGUUUUUGAGUGAGGUGGGAUUUACUCAUUUAAACCCCUUUCUCACCCUCCAAUAAUGCUUCACAUGAGAACACGUCUUUACACAAGUGAGCAACACGUGGCGGUGACGCAUUGGUUGGAAGGGUUGCCUCGGUUCAUGAAGGGGGGGAUUAUUAUAAGUGGUUAGUGCACGCCAGAAUCUUUUUGUUAAUUUAUUAAUUUAUUUCUUUUUCUUUUUUUUUUUUCGGUUGUUGUUGGUUGGGUGUGGGUUUUGGGGGAUAGUGGAGUUGCUUGGUUUUGAAGUUUGUUUUAUUAUUGUGUAAUUGUACACAUUUAUUUAUAUCUUUAUUAUGAUAUUUUUAAGUCUUUAGAGAUGAUGUAUGCACGUGGCCAUGUUUACCAAUUUUAAUUUUUAUAUUUAUUUUAAAAAAUUGAUAGAAUUUUUAAUAUA